rnacentral:lncRNA from 1 species
GAUUUUUUAAAUAGCAGUGAUUCAUUUAUUGUCUACUGGUUUUGCUGUUGGUCAUGGGGCAGGAAUACAUUCUUACUAUUACAUUUUGUGAUUCACAUUUUCAGUUCUUGGGUAAGAAGCCAUUUGCCAGUAAGACUCUGUCAAAGUCAGUGCCUCUCGUCGGGGUUCAUUGGGGCUUGAUACAACAUGCACUUCUGCAUUGUUCGAAGGACACAGAUCGCUACGCUCGGCCCCUAGAUUUGGCCAAGAGUGGAACACAUGGAGGUCUAGACAGAGUGACUAUACUGCCCUGCUCAAGAGCUAAAACAUCGUCAAGAAAGCAAGUCAAGUUCAUAAGGAAUUAUCUAGCAAAAUUGUUUCCAAUCAGAGAGAACCUCGAGCUACUGGUUGGGGAGCUCGGUGCAUUCUUGUUUCCAUUUGAAGCUCCUUGGCAAGCCGUUGCUUGGCGGUCCAGCCAUUUCCUUCUGGUAUCAGCUGGCCACACACUUCUGCUGUGGACUCAGAAUGGAGGAGAGUCGACAGGUACUGUGUGUCAGCAGCCUGUUUCUAGAGCAACCCCCUCACCCACCUCCACCCCCACCCUCACCCAACGUCCUUCCUUUUCUAUAAACAUUUGUCAGCCAGACUCAGAGGGCACAGAGUGGAUGCUCAAGCAGGAAAAUCAAAGCCACAGCAGUCCGAAGUGAAGGUAAACGGUGCCACUAAGAUCUGGCUGCAAGCCAGACAUUGGGAACCAGGUUCAGGCUUGACGGAAUGCCUCUAAGCUAUAGGAGGAUGGAGGGGGUCAGGUUUGCUGAACAAGGGGAAAUAAUUCUGAGCACACUGUGCGAGUGGCCAAAAUCAAGACUAUCAAGGCUCUGGGUGAUUUAGCUUACAGCGGCCACUGACUAAAACACAGUCAGCUUUCUGUCUUCUUUUUUUUCCCCCACACCUUACGGUAAAGGGAGGAAGGAUGGUCUAGAAGGUGGCCAGGGCUCACAGCAAGCCAAGAUGACCACAGGGACUUUCUCAUUUACCUGUGGUGGUCGGUGGCAGUUUUUCUUGUGAUGUUGGAUUUGAUAGGCAUCAGCCAACCUUGCAGUUGUUCUUUGACAACUUUUAUUAUUUUCUUCUCCAACAUAGUAUUUCUAUUAAUUAUCUGGGAAUUUUGUACAACGCACCCUGUGAUGGUUUGAUAUGCUUGGCCCAGGGAGUGGCACUAUUAGAAGGUGUAGCCCUGUUGGAGUGGGUGUGGUCUUGUUGGAGUAGGUGUGUCACUGUGGGUGUGGGCUUUAAGACCUUUAUCCUAGCUUUCUGGAAGUCAGUAUUCUGCUGACAGCCUUCAGAUGAAGACGUAGAACUCUCAGUUCUUCCUGCACCACGCCUGCCUGGAUGCUGCCAUGCUCCCGCCUUGAUGAUAAUGGACUGAACAUGUGAACCUGUAAGCCAGCCCCAAAUAAAUGUUGUCCUCAUAAGACUUGCCUUGGUCAUGGUGUCUGCUCACAGCAGGAAAACCCUAACUAAAACACCCCAAUCACACUAGCUUUGUAUUCCUUCCAGAUCUAUCCUUCUACCCCCAUACCCCUCAAUACCCCCCAAAAGAAAAACAGAGAGAGAAAAAAAUAUAUGUAACCCAGUGUUACCUAUAUACUCAUUAGAGCAUUGUCACACUCCCAGUGGCCAGGUCCUUAAAGAAAACUGAGUCAUUCCCCUGCUACUCGGCCCCACCCCACCCCAUUCCUGCCAAGAUCUUUUAAAUCAAGGAAUAAUCGCUGCCUCUUGCAUAAGGUCCAGCAAUCCCAGUAUAGGAUGGCUCCUUUACAUGGACCAUGUUUCCUCUCUCC